rnacentral:rRNA from 1 species
AUUGAACGCUGGCGGCAUGCCUUACACAUGCAAGUCGAACGGCAGCACGGGAGCAAUCCUGGUGGCGAGUGGCGAACGGGUGAGUAAUAUAUCGGAACGUGCCCAGUCGUGGGGAUAACGUAGCGAAAGCUACGCUAAUACCGCAUACGAUCUAUGGAUGAAAGCGGGGGAUCGCAAGACCUCGCGCGAUUGGAGCGGCCGAUAUCAGAUUAGGUAGUUGGUGAGGUAAAGGCUCACCAAGCCGACGAUCUGUAGCUGGUCUGAGAGGACGACCAGCCACACUGGGACUGAGACACGGCCCAGACUCCUACGGGAGGCAGCAGUGGGGAAUUUUGGACAAUGGGCGCAAGCCUGAUCCAGCAAUGCCGCGUGCAGGAUGAAGGCCUUCGGGUUGUAAACUGCUUUGUUACGGAACGAACGGUAGAGCUCUAAUACAGUUUGCUAAUGACGGUACCGUAAGAAUAAGACACCGGCUAACUACGUACG